rnacentral:rRNA from 1 species
UACGUAGGGGGCAAGCGUUGUCCGGAAUCAUUGGGCGUAAAGCGCGUGUAGGCGGUUCGGUAAGUCUGCUGUGAAAGUCCAGGGCUCAACCCUGGGAUGCCGGUGGAUACUGUCGGACUAGAGUACGGAAGAGGCGAGUGGAAUUCCCGGUGUAGCGGUGAAAAUGCGCAGAUAUCGGGAGGAACACCAAUUGCGAAGGCAGCUCGCUGGGACGUCACUGACGCUGAGGAGCGAAAGCGUGGGGAGCGAACAGG